GGCUAGGGAUGCGGGGCUCUGGACCCCGUGGCCCGGGUUCGAAUCCCGGCCGGGCUA
rnacentral:tRNA from 1 species